rnacentral:rRNA from 1 species
UUAUUAAAAAUGUAAUUAAUUUUUCUUAAGUUAUUGUAAGUUAUGAUCUUUAAAAUUAAAAAAUUUGGCGGUAUUUUAGUCUGUUCAGAGGAACCUGUUUUUUAAUUGAUAGUCCACGAUAAUUAACACCUUAACUAUAAAUUUAUAUAUCGUCGUUAUUAAAAAUUUUAGGAGGAUUUUAAUUUUUGAGAUUUUAUAUUUAAUAUUAAUUCAGAUCAAGGUGUAGUUUAUGCUAAGGUUAAAAUGGGUUACAUUAUAUAAAUAUGUGCUUUUUAAUUUUUGAAGUUAGAAUAAAAUGGAUUUGAAAGUAAGUUUUUUAUUUAUAGAAGUUGAUUUAGCUCUAAAAUAUGUACACAUCGCC